UGGUGGAGUGAUUUGUCUGGUUAAUUCCGAUAACGAACGAGACUCUGUCCUGCUGACUAGGUUGUGUUUUCUCGGGUUGGUGUUUCUGGUGUUCCUUCUCGGGGCGCCGGCCCAAUCCACUUGUGAACACAACACUCUUCUUAGAGGGACUGGCGGCUGUUAGCCGCACGAGAUAGAGCAAUAACA
rnacentral:rRNA from 1 species